rnacentral:ncRNA from 1 species
UGAAAGUUUUAUUCUUGCUUAUUUAUUUACUUUUUCUUUUUAUUAUAUGUAAGUUUUGUUAAACUAAAUGUUCUAUUUUGCAGUGAUUUGAUUUAAUUUAUUAAGUGACUUUAGAAUUAGCAAUUGAUUUUAGUGUUGGCAUAAUUCGUGCCAGCAGCUGCGGUUAUACGAUUGAUGCAAGUAAAUAUUAUUGGUUUAAACAGUUAUUUAUAUUUUUGAAUUAAUUUAUUAAUUAUUUUAGGUGAAAUUACAUAUUUUAUUUGAGAUUCUUAUUAUGAACCUGUGAAAUUUAAAUAAUAAACUAGGAUUAGAUACCCUAUUAUUUUAAAUGUAAAUUGCGCUUACUUGGGUACUGUUAGUUAAUUUCUUUAAACCCAAAGAAUUUGGCGGUAUCUUAUUCUAUUCAGAGGAACCUGCCCUGUUAUUGAUAGUACACGAUUAACUUUACUUAAUUUAUUUGUUUGUAUAUCUCCGUUAUCAGAAGAUUUUUUUAGAAUUAUAAUUUUCUUAAUUUCUAAUUAGAAAUUAUUUCAGGUCAAGGUGCAGCUUAUAAUUAAGGAGAGGUGGGUUACAAUAAGUUUUUGUUUAUAAUGGAUUAGAGGUUUAAAUAUUUUUAUGAAGGUGGAUUUGAUAGUAAUUUAAUUUAAUUAAGUUAAUUGAUAUUAGCUCUGAGAUGUGUACACAUCGCCCGUCGCUCUCAUCAUUAGUUAUCUUAUUGUUAUUUUUGAUUUUAAUUUAGAUGAGAUAAGUCGUAACAUAGUAGAUGUACUGGAAAGUGUAUCUAGUAAGAUUAAU